CCCAUUGCAUCAUAAACAUAUUUUUCAUUGAGCAUGCGUUAAUAUAGUAUGGCCCAGAUCCUCUGCUGCCCAAAGGUCAGCUUGGUGCAGCAGAGAAGCAGAUAUGGCCUCCUGGCUCUCAGACCAGAUUCUUGCUGAGGGCUUCUCUAACCUACCCCAGUUAGCACUGGUCUCCAAGAGAACAUAUACCAGCUGGGGAUUGCCAGGGCACAUGAUCUACCAGCCCCCUCAACACACCCUACCCACAACAUGCAAGAAGGAAGAGGAUGUCACAAAAGCGGAGUAUGCCAGUUGAGAUCACAUGGGAUCCUGAGUGAGAAGAGAGGAGUCCACAAGGGAAUCCCUCUACUAAGAUUUGGUCAACACUAUUAAACAAAGUAAAUGUGUUCAAUGGAAUUCUUACAAUUCACUGGGACAAAAAGUCUUCCAAGAUGCCUCCAUGAUUAGAGGGAGAAUUCUAAAAGGCUGUGUUUUAAGGAUCAGUGAUGUAAAAUGACACAGAAUUCUCCAGUGAUGUCACGGUAGCACUUUGUGUGAAAUGGAGACUGGAAAAAAAGAUUUUUGCUCUUAGAUGCAUCUUCUGAACCAGAACCAUUCUUCUGUACUCAAGCACAGCAGUGGAUGCAAUGAUGUUGAGCAUAGUUGCACUACAUUUUGGAAUGGGCUGAUUUGUCUUAGGCUAUUACUGUCUAUUACUGCUGGAAGUCUCGGGGAAAGGUGGGAAGCGGCGAAUUCUGGCUAUCUGCCUAAAGAGAAAUCAAUGAAACAAAUUAAUCCUUCGCAGGCUGCAAUGACACAGUAAUCCAUCAUUCAGAGCUGCUUUUAUACACCAAAUCAGAGAGCAGAGGAAAGAGCCCAGGGGGACAUCACAGACAACAACUUACACCAACACUGGGAAAAUACUAAGGAAUCCGUUUAUUUAAAGAGGAUAGAUUUCAGUUGAUUGCCUAUUUCAUCCUAUAAAGAUUUUUCUUCCACCCUGUUGUGAACCCUGAAUGGCUAUAUCUUCUGAACACUCGGCUCUCUGGAAGUUGGCUUCCAUCAAUUGACUGUGAAUAGGGUUUGAAUAAUUAGUACUUUAACCACGAUGGGCAGGUAGCGGAAAAAGUUACAUAUUCAGUUCGGUUUCCAGCCGUUUGCAGCUCCAGUCUGCUCCCCCUGUAAUCGGUACCUCACGGAGAUCAGGGAAUGCAGGAUCAGGCCCUACUGCAUUUUCUGCUUUCAGCAGGAAUGUGCCCAGGCUACAUGGGAUCCACCUUUCGAACUCAAUUUGGCUGCUGACGGAUUUAAGAUGUAACUCUUAAAAGGGGGUCUCGUCUCUUCUCUCCCCGCAGCUGCAAUCUCCAUCCACUU